GAUGAAGGCUGGCGGCGUGCCUAAUACAUGCAAGUCGAGCGAACAGACGAGGAGCUUGCUCCUCUGACGUUAGCGGCGGACGGGUGAGUAACACGUGGAUAACCUACCUAUAAGACUGGGAUAACUUCGGGAAACCGGAGCUAAUACCGGAUAACAUGUUGAACCGCAUGGUUCAACAGUGAAAGACGGUCUUGCUGUCACUUAUAGAUGGAUCCGCGCCGCAUUAGCUAGUUGGUAAGGUACGGCUUACCAAGGCAACGAUGCGUAGCCGACCUGAGAGGGUGAUCGGCCACACUGGAACUGAGACACGGUCCAGACUCCUACGGGAGGCAGCAGUAGGGAAUCUUCCGCAAUGGGCGAAAGCCUGACGGAGCAACGCCGCGUGAGUGAAGAAGGUCUUCGGAUCGUAAAACUCUGUUAUUAGGGAAGAACAAAUGUGUAAGUAACUAUGCACGUCUUGACGGUACCUAAUCAGAAAGCCACGGCUAACUACGUG
rnacentral:rRNA from 1 species